rnacentral:rRNA from 1 species
UCAGGACGAACGCUGGCGGCGUGCCUAACACAUGCAAGUCGAACGGACGAGGGGAGCUUGCUCCCCAAGUUAGUGGCGGACGGGUGAGUAACACGUGAGCAACCUGCCCUUCGAGGGGGACAACAGCUGGAAACGGCUGCUAAUACCGCAUGACACAGCGGGGAGGCAUCUCCCUGCUGUCAAAGAUUUAUCGCCGAAGGAUGGGCUCGCGUCUGAUUAGAUAGUUGGCGGGGUAACGGCCCACCAAGUCGACGAUCAGUAGCCGGACUGAGAGGUUGAACGGCCACAUUGGGACUGAGAUACGGCCCAGACUCCUACGGGAGGCAGCAGUGGGGAAUAUUGGGCAAUGGGGGGCAACCCUGACCCAGCAACGCCGCGUGAAGGAAGAAGGCUUUCGGGUUGUAAACUUCUUUGACGAGGGACGAUAGUGACGGUACCUCGAAAACAAGCCACGGCUAACUACGUGCCAGCCGCCGC